rnacentral:pre_miRNA from 1 species
UCAGUACUCCCUCCGUCCGGAAAUACUUGUCCUAAAAAUGGAUGUAUCUAGACUUAUUUUAGUUAUAGAUACAUUCAUUUUAUUCAUUUCUAGGACAACUAUUUUUGAAUGGAGGGAGUACUAU